GUUCUGAUAUCUUUGCUGUAUUCGUUGACAGUCUCUCUCUAGUCAGGGUUUUAAAUGUUCUGAUAUCUUUGCUGUAUUCGUUGACAGUCUCUCUCUAGUCAGGGUUUUAAAUGUUCUGAUAUCUUUGCUGUAUUCGUUGAGUCUCUCUCUAGUCAGGGUUUUAAAUGUUCUGAUAUCUUUGCUGUAUUCGUUGAGUCUCUCUCUAGUCAGGGUUUUAAAUGUUCUGAUAUCUUUGCUGUAUUCGUUGAGUCUCUCUCUAGUCAGGGUUUUAAAUGUUCUGAUAUCUUUGCUGUAUUCGUUGAGUCUCUCUCUAGUCAGGGUUUUAAAUGUUCUGAUAUCUUUGCUGUAUUCGUUGACAGUCUCUCUCUAGUCAGGGUUUUAAAUGUUCUGAUAUCUUUGCUGUAUUCGUUGACAGUCUCUCUCUAGUCAGGGUUUUAAAUGUUCUGAUAUCUUUGCUGUAUCCGUUGACAGUCUCUCUCUAGUCAGGGUUUUAAAUGUUUUGAAAUCUCACAGUAUCAACUUUGCCGUAGCUUUCUUUUAUGCCUGCUACGUUACUGCAAACAUGGUCAUCUGAGCAUCUGACAUAGCGGUGGCAUAGUGCACUUGAUUUCCUCUCCAGGCCCACCGGGACGGCAGAGUUUGUACCUUCAGUCACAUACCUGGAGCGCAGGGCAGCUGAAUUGGCUGCACCCACCACCAACAGAGACUGAAAGAAAAACUAGGAACACAAGGCUUUAUCGUGGGGUUAUUUACAGAAAUGUUUGGCGAUGGACUAGAGAUGCCUGGGAGAUGGACCGGUUGGUGACCACUGAUAUAGUAUGUUGUUGGGUUUUUUACAGAAAUGUUUGGCGAUGGACUAGAGAUGCCUGGGAGAUGGACCGGUUGGUGACCACUGAUAUAGUAUGUUGUUGGGUUAUUUACAGAAAUGUUUGGCGAUGGACUAGAGAUGCCUGGGAGAUGGACCGGUUGGUGACCACUGAUAUAGUAUGUUGUUGGGUUAUUUACAGAAAUGUUUGGCGAUGGACUAGAGAUGCCUGGGAGAUGGACCGGUUGGUGACCACUGAUAUAGUAUGUUGUUGGGUUAUUUACAGAAAUGUUUGGCGAUGGACUAGAGAUGCCUGGGAGAUGGACCGGUUGGUGACCACUGAUAUAGUAUGUUGUUGGGUUAUUUACAGAAUGUUGGGAGAUGGACCGGUUGGUGACCACUGAUAUAUUUAUAAAUCUGUAUAUUUAUAAAUCCUGUUAUUGUUGAACAGGCCUGGGAUCAGUCCAAAGUAGUGCACCAAACUAGGUUACAGUCCAGUUACUGAGAUGUUGAAGCGCUGUUGUGCUGUUCCCCCUCCUCUCCUGUAGGGGCGCUACAGAACCACGCCAGGACCUAUAACCUCCCCAUCGACGAGCUCAACUUCCGUUUCAACGUGUUGCCAGUCUACCUAGACCAGGGGGCCGUGAGCGAGGCGCUGAAGACCCUACCGGCCGGGGGCGAGUUGGACAUGGACUCUGAGCUACCCACCAUCAACGACGGCGUGCUGGUGCACGGGAUGUUCAUGGACGCCAGUCGCUGGGACGACGUCGACAUGGUGAUCGAGGAUGCGUUGCCACGGGUGAUGAACGCCAUGCUUCCCGUGGUGCACUUCGAACCCCAGCAGAACUAUGACCCUGAUCCGUCUCUCUACCAGGCUCCGCUGUACAAGACCUCAGCUCGGGCUGGGACUUUGUCUACUACAGGCCACUCUACUAACUUUGUGGUGACGGUGAUGCUGCCGUCCAGCCUGCCUAGUGACUACUGGAUCACCAAGGCCUCAGCCCUGCUCUGUCAGCUCAACGAGUAGUACCCCACACACAGCUGUACUUCUGCACCUUCAUUACCAGCAGCAGUGAUGAAGCCCAUUCUCUAUGGACUCUUGUUUUCUGGAAACCAGUGACUGUUUCUCACGUCUGUAUUGAGAAGUAUUCUCCUGUGUACUCUCUCUCCCUGCUAAUCAGUUGAAGGGAUUAUUUGCACGGGGCCCAAAAUGGCAUUUUUCUUUUCUUUUCCGAGUUGCUUUGAUGAAAUACCAUGUAGCAGUGCUGUUGUCGUUUGUGCAUUUUGCUGUGUGCCUGGGAGAAGAGCAUGUCGCUACACCCGCAAUAACAGCUGCUAAAUAAUGUGGAUGUCACCAAUCAGAUUUGAUUUUGUGUGGUGUGUUCAGUUCAGUCAAUUUCUCUUCUCUUUCAGUGAACUGUAGCAACAUAUUAACACCCCUGUGUCUGAAAUGACAGCUCCCGACAU
ensembl:lncRNA